GCCAGGUUUGGUGGCGCACGCCUGUAAUCCCAGUGGCUUGGAAGGCUGAGACAGGAGGAUCAAAAGUUCAAAGCCAGCUUCAGCAAAAGCCACGUCAGUGAGAUCCUGUUUCUG
rnacentral:sRNA from 1 species